rnacentral:lncRNA from 1 species
UCCUCCUGAGGCCGGAGCCCAGACGCAAUGUAGAAAUAAGAGAAUCGCCAGAGCCUUGGAAAAAAUAAGCUGUGGCAAGAGCUCAGAGACGCGAAUUCCGGCUGGGCUUGUCUCUGGGCGGCCUCCUUCCAUGAGGGAGAGUCUGCGCCAAGUAGAAAGAGGUGCUGAAGCAUUUCCCAAGGUGGAGGGCCUUCGAAGUGUCCCACCGGGAAACUUGGAUUAAAGCCUGGCCUAGGCUGUCACAGACCUCAGCCUUCCGGAGGCCACAGCUUGCCCCAGGCUCUGUUUCUCUGGCUGUAAAGUGAAGGAGUUGGUAUGGUUGGGCACUCUGAGGUCUGUGGGUUGCAAGGGACAAUGAACCACCUCAGCACAGCUUGAGCAACAUGGGGGGUCUAUUAGCUUUUUCGUAGCCAAUUGUAUCAGUUGGCUUUCCCGUUGGUGGACACAAUUCAGAGGGGAGAGUUAAGAUAGGGGUGUCAAUAUGAAGGUCAGGCUGGUCUUAAUCUCCGCUGUGUAGCGCAGGCUGCCACUGAAUUCCAGGCGAUCCUGCCUCAGCCGCCCAAGUGCUGGGAUCAUAGGCGUGUGCCACCCCACCAGUUUGAUUUUUUUUAUUGGUACAUGUUGGAUAUACAUAGGAUAAUGUUCACCACAGGGAAUUUGUACUGGUACAUGAUGUAUCUUGCUUCUUUGUCUCCCAUUCCUCCCUCCCUGCAACCCCUCUUCCCCUCGUGUACAAAAGCUUUGUUUCCUUUUUCCCUUCUGUUCUCUUUUUCUCUUGUCCCUUCCUUCCUUUCUCCCUUCCCUCCCC